CUGAGCGGGACCGUGUGGCUCGGGGCGGCCAGCACGGGGUUUCCCGGGGCCGGACGGCAGGGUGCUUACAGGAGCGGCACAGGGGUCUUUUUGUAAGGCAAGGAAGAUAGGCAACCAGCACUGGAAUGCUGCCACUGGGAGAUUUAUUGGAAGUUUUGAAGGGCUCAGUAGACUGGGAAGGUAGAUGAUAAUAGAUGGAAAUUAUGGAUUUCCAAGGCUGGAUGGUCUCUCAUAGCAGCUUUAGCCACAAGUUCCUGCAACAUUCCUUACAGAAACACAGCUGCUAUCUAUUGAAAUAUAAGUCAUUGUUCA